rnacentral:rRNA from 1 species
GGAAUAUUGCACAAUGGGGGAAACCCUGAUGCAGCGACGCCGCGUGAGUGAAGAAGUAUUUCGGUAUGUAAAGCUCUAUCAGCAGGGAAGAAAAUGACGGUACCUGACUAAGAAGCCCCGGCUAACUACGUGCCAGCAGCCGCGGUAAUACGUAGGGGGCAAGCGUUAUCCGGAUUUACUGGGGGUAAAGGGUGCGUAGACGGUUGUGUAAGUCUGAAGUGAAAGGCGGGGGCUCAACUCCCGGACUGCUUUGGAAACUAUAUGACUAGAGUGCAGGAGGGGUAAGCGGAAUUCCUGGUGUAGCGGUGAAAUGCUUAGAUAUCAGGAGGAAAACCGGCGGCGAAGGCGGCUUACUGGACUGUAACUGACGUUGAGGCACGAAAGCGUGGGGAGCAAACA